rnacentral:snRNA from 1 species
AGCCACUCAGUGGGCACAAAGCGAACUAUUCUUUCGCCUUUUACUAAAGAAUACCGUGUGCACGCUGCAAUUAAUGGCAUACGCCAAUUUUUGGAGGUGUUCUCUUUCAUUAGAGUAC